GGGGCAAAAUCCCUUGACCUAGUUUCAGAUCCUCAAUCUGGUGAACGUGUGUGUUCUUCAUCUUCUUCGUGUCGUCUCAUCUGCUUCUUGUCGUCGCUGCCGUUAUCGUAAUCUGGUGAGCCGUGCUCUUCAUCUGCUUCUUGUGCCCUAUUGCUAAUCUAGCCCUCGGCCUCAUGUCUGUCCGAGGCAGUAUUUAUCCCUUAAGCAAGGCCUGCGUUCAAACCUCUGUUCUGUGCUGGGGUUCUGUUCCUCCGUUCUUCAACGCUGAAGCGAGACCUCCACCACUGGGUCGUCUGUUCAUCUACCGCAAAGAGGGUGUCAAUUUCAUCGGUUCAUCCGUUCUGAGAGACUCAGCCUUGUUGUAAUCAACUGACUAGAAGCAUACCUACACAGGUUGGUGCUUUGAAUUAAAAUAUAAAUGCAUGUGUUUCAGGGCAUAAAAGUGGAUGGAGGCUCACUGUGAGAUGGAAAUAUGACACAAGGAUCAAAUAUAAGUGAAUGGGGUGAUUGGAACGAAAUGGAACCUUCUUUGGUGGGGUGCUGAACCAGCAGGCAGGGAGGGUGGUAGGGGAGAGGGAGCAAGAAGAUACAAAUUGGGUGAAGAAUAUAAAAAUUGGGUGAAAUUUAAAAGUCAAAAUGGUGGAACAAGACUUGAGCGGGACCUUUUCCCUCACUUUCUAAACAUGAAAAGUGCAUUUAGCGCCAACAAGGAGAGCAUAAAAAUAUGAAAUUUUAUUAAUAAUAUUUUGUAUAGUUAAUUUUUUUUUUUAAUUUAGACCCAUGCUUUAUAUGAUUAAAAUAAAAUUUAUCCUCUUUCGGAACUUCAUUGA